UAAUACAGAGGGUGCGAGCGUUAAUCGGAAUUACUGGGCGUAAAGGGCGCGUAGGUGGUUAAUUAAGUCAGAUGUGAAAUCCCUGGGCUUAACCUAGGAAUUGCAUAUGAAACUGAUUAGCUAGAGUUCGGGAGAGGGAAGUGGAAUUUCCGGUGUAGCGGUGAAAUGCGUAGAUAUCGGAAGGAACAUCAGUGGCGAAGGCGACUUCCUGGCCCGAUACUGACACUGAGGCGCGAAAGCGUGGGUAGCGAACAGGAUUAGAUACCCUGGUAGUCCACGCUGUAAACGAUGAGAACUAGAUGUUAGGGGCCUUAGAGCUUUUAGUAUCGUAGCAAACGCGUUAAGUUCUCCGCCUGGGGAGUACGGCCGCAAGGUUA
rnacentral:rRNA from 1 species